rnacentral:rRNA from 1 species
UCUACGGGGGGCUGCAGUAAGGAAUAUUGGUCAAUGGACGAAAGUCUGAACCAGCCAUGCCGCGUGGAGGAUGAAGGUCCUCUGGAUUGUAAACUUCUUUUAUAUGGGACGAAAAAAGGCCUUUCCAGGUCGUCUGCCGGUACCAUAUGAAUAAGCACCGGCUAACUCCGUGCCAGCAGCCGCGGUCAUACGGAGGGUGCAGGCGUUAUCCGGAUUCACUGGGUUUAAGGGGUGUGGGUAUGUCAGUGGUGAAAUCCCCGAGCUUAACUUGGGAACUGCCAUUGAUACUAUCAGUCUUGAAUACCGUGGAGGUCAGCGGAAUAUGUCAUGUAGCGGUGAAAUGCUUAGAUAUGACAUAGAACACCAAUUGCGAAGGCAGCUGGCUACACGAGUAUUGACACUGAGGCACGAAAGCGUGGGGAUCAAACAGGAUUAGAUACCCUAGUAGUC